rnacentral:rRNA from 1 species
GACGAACGCUGGCGGCGUGCUUAACACAUGCAAGUCGUACGGUAAGGCCCUUUCGGGGGUACACGAGUGGCGAACGGGGGAGUAACACGUGAUUACCCGGCCCCCACCUUGGGGAUAAGGCUAGGAACUGGGUGCUAAAACUGAAAAUGUGUUCCUGCGCCAGGGGGGGGGUGGGAAAGUUCCGGCGGUUGUGGAUGGACUCGCGGCCUAUCAGCUUGUUGGUGGGGUAGUGGCCUACCAAGGCGGCGACGGGUAGCCGGCCUGAGAGGGUGACCGGCCACAUUGGGACUGAGAUACGGCCCAGACGCCUACGGGAGGCAGCAGUGGGGAAGAUUGCACAAUGGGCGCAAGCCUGAUGCAGCAACGCCGCGUGCGGGAUGACGGCCUUCGGGUUGUAAACCGCUUUCAGCAGGGACGAAGCUUUUUGUGACGGUACCUGCAGAAGAAGCACCGGCUAACUACGUG